GAGGAAAAGAAACCAACAGGGAUUGCCUCAGUAACUGCGAGUGAAGCGGCAAAAGCUCAAAUUUGAAAUCUGGUACCUUUGGGUGCUCGAGUUGUAAUUUGGAGAGGCAACUUCGAAGGAGGCGCUGGCCUAAGUUCCUUGGAACAGGACGUCACAGAGGGUGAGAAUCCCGUGCUUGGCUGGCUGUCCUCCUUCAUGUGAAGUGUCUUCGACGAGUCGAGUUGUUUGGGAAUGCAGCUCAAAAUGGGUGGUAAACUCCAUCUAAGGCUAAAUAUUGGCGAGAGACCGAUAGCGCACAAGUAGAGUGAUCGAAAGAUGAAAAGCACUUUGAAAAGAGAGUUAAACAGUACGUGAAAUUGUUGAAAGGGAAGCGCUUGAGACCAGACUCGGUGAUAGGUGAUCAGCGGUUGCUUUUGCUCCGUGCACUUGCCUUUUACCGGGCCAGCAUCAGUUGUGACGGUGGGAUAAAGACUCAGGGAAUGUGGCUCUCUUCGGGGAGUGUUAUAGCCCUGGGUGUAAUGCCACCUGUUGCGACUGAGGACCGCGCUUCGGCUAGGAUGCUGGCAUAAUGGUCUUCAGCGACCCGUUG
rnacentral:rRNA from 1 species